rnacentral:rRNA from 1 species
GAUGAACGCUGGCGGCGUGCCUAAUACAUGCAAGUCGAGCGAACAGACGAGGUUCUUGCUCCUCUGACGUUAGCGGCGGACGUGUGAGUAAAACGUGGAUAACCUACCUUUAAGAUAGGGAUAACUUCGGGAAACCGGUGCCAAUACCGGAUAAUAUCUUGAACCGCAUGGUUCAAUAGUGACAGACGGUUUUGCUGUCCUCUCUAGAUGUAUCCGCGCCGCUUUAGCUGGUUGGUAAGGUAACGGCUUACCAAGGCAACGAUGCGUAGCCGACCUGAGAGGGGGGUCGGCCGCACGGGAGCGGAGACGGGGUCCAGGCGCCUGAGAGACGCAGCAGAAGGGUAUCUGACGCAGUGGGCGAAAACCUGGCGGAGCAGGGGCGCGUGAGAGAUAGAGACCUUCGGAGCGUAAAGCUCGGUUAUGGGGGGAAAACAACUGUGUAAGGAACUAAACACGUCGUGACGGUACCUGAUGAGGAAGCCACGGCUAACUACGUG